GACGAACGCUGGCGGCGUGCUUAACACAUGCCAGUCGAACGGAAAGGCCUGCUUUCCCUUGUGGAUUGCGGGUACUCGAGUGGCGAACGGGUGAGUAACACGUGAGUGAUCUGCCCCCAACUUGGGUAUAAGCCUGGGAAACUGGGUCUAAUUCCCGAUAGGACUGCAGGGUGGUGCCUGUGGUGAAAAACGAUUUUCUAGUGGUUGGGGAUGAGCUCGCGGCCUAUCAGCUUGUUGGUGGGGUAAUGGCCUACCAAGGCGGCGACGGGUAGCCGGCCUGGGAGGGUGGACGGCCACAUUGGGACUGAGAUACGGCCCAGACUCCUACGGGAGGCAGCAGUGGGGAAGAUUGCACAAUGGGCGGAAGCCUGAUGCAGCGACGCCGCGUGGGGGAUGACGGCCUUCGGGUUGUAAACUCCUUUCGACCGCGAGGAAGCCACCUGGUUGGAAGGGUGGUGACGGUAGUGGUAGAAGAAGCACCGGCUAACUACGUG
rnacentral:rRNA from 1 species